AUGGACGAAAGUCUGAUGGAGCAACGCCGCGUGAGUGAUGAAGGUUUUCGGAUCGUAAAACUCUGUUGUAAGGGAAGAACAAGUGCGUUAGGUAAUGAACGCACCUUGACGGUACCUUAUUAGAAAGCCACGGCUAACUACGUGCCAGCAGCCGCGGUAAUACGUAGGUGGCAAGCGUUGUCCGGAUUUAUUGGGCGUAAAGCGCGCGCAGGUGGUUUCUUAAGUCUGAUGUGAAAGCCCACGGCUCAACCGUGGAGGGUCAUUGGAAACUGGGGAACUUGAGUGCAGAAGAGGAUAGUGGAAUUCCAAGUGUAGCGGUGAAAUGCGUAGAGAUUUGGAGGAACACCAGUGGCGAAGGCGACUGUCUGGUCUGUAACUGACACUGAGGCGCGAAAGCGUGGGGAGCAAACAGGAUUAGAUACCCUGGUAGUCCACGCCGUAAACGAUGAGUGCUAAGUGUNAGGGGGUNUCCGCCCCUUAGUGCUGCAGCUAACGCAUNAAGCACUCCGCCUGGGGAGUACGACCGC
rnacentral:rRNA from 1 species